rnacentral:sRNA from 1 species
ACUCAACGUUAAUUCUUUAAGAAGGGUGAGUUUAAGUUGUAAAAUCGAGCUGCUAGUGCUGAACUUGCUUCAGUAUCUCGAGCAGAUUUUUGAUCAGCUUGUUAGCCCUAAACUUGUUUUUAAGGGGUUU